UACGUAGGGUGCAAGCGUUAAUCGGAAUUACUGGGCGUAAAGAGUGCGCAGGCGGUUGUGCAAGACAGAUGUGAAAUCCCCGGGCUCAACCUGGGAAUUGCAUUUGUGACUGCACGGCUAGAGUGUGUCAGAGGGGGGUAGAAUUCCACGUGUAGCAGUGAAAUGCGUAGAGAUGUGGAGGAAUACCGAUGGCGAAGGCAGCCCCCUGGGCCAACACUGACGCUCAUGCACGAAAGCGUGGGGAGCAAACAGG
rnacentral:rRNA from 1 species